UACGUAGGGGGCAAGCGUUAAUCGGAAUUACUGGGCGUAAAGCGCGCGUAGGUGGUUUGUUAAGUUGAAUGUGAAAGCCCCGGGCUCAACCUGGGAACUGCAUCCAAAACUGGCAAGCUAGAGUACGGUAGAGGGUGGUGGAAUUUCCUGUGUAGCGGUGAAAUGCGUAGAUAUUGGGAAGAACACCGGUGGCGAAGGCGGCUCUCUGGACCGACACUGACGCUGAGGCGCGAAAGCGUGGGGAGCAAACAGG
rnacentral:rRNA from 1 species